rnacentral:lncRNA from 1 species
AGAUUUUGAAUGAGCCUAGGCAGUCUUGUGAGCUGAUGGCUUUAUCUAGUCAGCAGUUUGGAAAGGCAAGGAGAGUGAAAGAUGAGUGUCCCUGUACCUUAUCUGUUUCCUGUGCGAAGAAUAGUGACAGUGAAGGAAAUGUGCCUAUGUCUGUCAGGGGUAUUGACUUGCCUAUGGAGGAAGCUACCCCAGUCUCCAAGCAGUUGUCUGUGAACAGCCCAGUGUGCUGGGACAAGGGAAAUGAAAUCCCAAACUGUAUGUCUAGUAAAGGAAAAUGUGUCUCCAACUCUUCUUUGUCUGUGGAGCAGACAGAAGGUGCCUUUCGGCCUGUGAUGGUUGAGAGUAAUUUAGUUGUCUCAGAGUUGGUUCUGAAUUCAACUAAAGCCCAGGAAGGGAAUGGUCCUAAGUUUGCAUCUGUUGGGGAGAAUGGCACCGUAACUAGGUUGCAUCCAGUUAGUGUCUUAGCAAAAUCCCAGAGACCAGACAAUUCUGGUGCUUGUAUUUUGCCUGUUGCUCAUGUGUGGUUGGAGAAGGGUGUAGCAACCCUGUCUGAUCAGGGUGAUACCCUAGCCAGGGCACAAGGAGAGCAGAAAGGUAAUUUGGUUGUGGUACCUAUGGACAGUUUAACAACUUGUAGCAAAAAGGAAAAAAUUCCUAAGCUUGUGUGUGGCAAAGAAAAGGGAAAUAUUUCUAACCUUUUAUCUAGGAAGUCUACUGGUUCGCCUGAAAGGGGAUUGUGUAGAGAUCUGCCUAAUGGGCCAAAGGUAAUCCUGAAUGCAAGUAAGACCCAGACAGAGUCUGUUGUUGCUCAGGAAAGUGUUCCUUUAGAGCAAGCCCUAGGUGAAGAGGGUAAGGGCAGAAUUUCUGUGAGGGGUGAAUUGCUGCUUAGAAAAGCUCCUGGGGAAAGGAAUCCUCAUGGUAAUCGGUGCAAGCAGUUCCCUGCAACUGAAGGGUGUGAGAGUGAUUUAAUCAAGGAAGUUUCAGUUCCUAGCAGCCAAAAAUUGUCUGUUGUGGAUGGAUCCACUGACUUGCCUUUUAAAAGAUCCAGUGUGGGUAGCUUUGAGAAGGUCUCAGAGGAAGUAAAAGUUGUUAAGGAAUUGAGGCAGCCCUAUAACCAAGUGGCUGUGUGGGGCCAACUUGUUGGGGAGACAAUGGUGUUGGAACAGGAAUGUCUCCUUUCUGAUUCUUUAGAUGAGCAGUCUGGGCUUCAGGGUUUGAGGACAGAUUUGGUUACUGAUGUGUCAGAGCAGAGCAGUUUUAUGGCUAAAUGCUUGAGGAUGCG